rnacentral:rRNA from 1 species
CACGAACCGUACAAACGUUAUUCGGAAUCACUGGGCUUAAAGGGUGCGUAGGCGGCCCGGCAAGUUGGGUGUGAAAUCCCUCGGCUCAACCGAGGAAUUGCGCCCAAAACUGCCGGACUCGAGGGAGACAGAGGUGAGCGGAACUUGCGGUGGAGCGGUGAAAUGCGUUGAUAUCGCAAGGAACACCUGUGGCGAAAGCGGCUCACUGGGUCUUUUCUGACGCUGAGGCACGAAAGCUAGGGGAGCGAACGGG